rnacentral:rRNA from 1 species
CCUACGGGUGGCAGCAGUGGGGAAUAUUGCGCAAUGGGCGAAAGCCUGACGCAGCGACGCCGCGUGAGGGAUGAAGGUCUUCGGAUCGUAAACCUCUGUCAGCAGGGAAGAACGGUCACUGUGCUAAUCAGCAGUGAAUUGACCGUACCUGCAAAGGAAGCACCGGCUAACUCCGUGCCAGCAGCCGCGGAAAUACGGGGGGUGCGAGCGUUAAUCGGAAUUACUGGGCGAAAAGCGGGCGUAGGCGGUAUGUCAAGUCAAGGGUGAAAUCCCGGCGCUCAACGUGGGAAGUGCCUUUGAAUCUGGCAAACUGGAGGGUGUGAGAGGAUAGGGGAAUUCGGGGUGUAGGUGAGA